UUGUCACGACCCCCGACCCACCCUGGACGGAAUCGAGAGCCGUGAGCAGCCCCGUGGUACCGGUAGUUUAUUUUUGAAAACAUUUGCAGCGGAAAUUUCAUCAGGACCGUGAGUUAGGAAAACUAUCAGAGUUUAGAAACACCGGAUUUUAUUUAAAUAGAUGGAAUAAAUUCCAUGUUUUACAAAGUUUCAAUCGAUCGGACAUCGAAUCGUAGCAAUGAUCGAGUUAAUACCCUGUAUCGUAGCAGUGCCUCGCUAAUUUGAGAGUAAUAUUCGAAUUUGGACAGUAUAACUUCGUUUCUGAAAGAAACUUUCGACACCAGAGGACUGCUCGUAGCCUGCUCUAUUUAUAGCUGGAAUUUGGGUUUCACGCGGCCCGCGUGAGCCUUGGCUCGACUCUUACGCGGCCCGCGUAGUCGCCUAGCCUACGCGUAGGGUUGCUGAGUCACCAGUAGGUUUGCCAGGUGAAUACCACGUGUCCCUUAAGCUUAUCUGGAGAUUUGCCUUGCUGUCGCGGCCCGCGUAAGCCUCGGCUUAUCUUUACGCGGCCCGCCUGAAGACCACAAAUCUUGUUUUCUUGAUUUUUGAUAUGGAUUGGGGUUUCAGGGGUCCGGGUUUUUACGUAUGGAUCGAUUUGGGAUAUUUUUGAAUAUAAUUAUAUUAUAAAGAAAAAGGGAAUAAAAUAGUGAGAAAAGAGAAUGGACCCACUUUGUAACUUUAGGGUUUGACUAGAAAACCUCCUGGUAUAAAUUUUGGGUAUAACUUUUGGGCUAUUAAAAAUAUAUAAUGCACUCGUGGUAAGUAUAGUACUCCUAAAUCAACCUUGUCCCGAUGUCCCGAGAUAGAAUCCCAACAACUUAGUCGGGCAGAGCCCUGACAUGAGUUAUGGAUUUCAGAUCAAUCGGAAAGGGUAGCGGUGACCGGGAGUUACAAUACUUAAAACGAAGCAGGGCUUUAUUAUUAUUAUAGGGUAAAAUAAAAAUAAGAAUUAAAAGUAUAGAAUUUUGAGAGAGAGCGUAG
rnacentral:lncRNA from 1 species